UUUGUCCUGCCGUGCGCGUGAUGGCGCAAUGCGUUUGAGCCAACACCCAAAAUUUGGGAGUCAAACGUCUGCUGAUAAGGUGAUAGGCAUCCGCCAAGACCGAUUCAUCAGUCUGACACCCACCUGCGAAAGCAGGUUCAAAAACAUCGCGACACACGACAUGGCGGGUCCCUC
rnacentral:other from 1 species